GCGACUAAGCGUACACGGUGGAUGCCCUGGCAGUCAGAGGCGAUGAAGGACGUGCUAAUCUGCGAAAAGCGCCGGCGAGGUGAUAUGAACCCUUGACCCGGCGAUGUCCGAAUGGGGAAACCCAGUGCAAUCCGUUGCACUAUCGUUAACUGAAUACAUAGGUUAACGAGGCGAACCGGGGGAACUGAAACAUCUAAGUACCCCGAGGAAAAGAAAUCAACCGAGAUUCCCCCAGUAGCGGCGAGCGAACGGGGAGCAGCCCAG
rnacentral:rRNA from 1 species